CACUAAGAAGCUUACGCUAUAGCACUAGCCUUUUAAGCUAGCGAGGGAUUCAAAUCCCUUAGUGA
rnacentral:tRNA from 1 species